GGUUAAAAAGCUCGUAGUUGGAUUUCUGUUGAGGGCGGGCGGUCCGCACUACGUGCGUGUAUCUGUUACGACCUCGGCAUCCUCUUGAAGAACAGUUCGGUGAUUCAGUUCGCCGGCUGGAAUUCAAGACUUUUACUUUGAGGAAAUUAGAGUGUUCACGGCAAGCAAUCGCUUUGAAUACAUUAGCAUGGAAUAAUAAUAUAGGACCUUGGUACUAUUUUGUUGGUUUCUAGAACUAAGGUAAUGAUUAAUAGGGAUAAUUGGGGGCAUUCGUAUUAACACGUCAGAGGUGGAAUUCUUGGAUUGUGUUACGACGAACUACUGCGAAAGCAUUUGCCAAGGAUGUUUUCAUUGAUCAGAACGAAAGUAUGGGGAUCGAAGACGAUUAGAUACCGUCGUAGUCUAUACCCAUAAACCUAUGCCAACUAGAGAUUGGAGGU
rnacentral:rRNA from 1 species